CCUACGGGCGGCAGCAGUGGGGAAUAUUGGACAAUGGGCGAAAGCCUGAUCCAGCCAUGCCGCGUGUGUGAAGAAGGCCUUCGGGUUGUAAAGCACUUUCAGUGGGGAAGAAAGCCUUGGGGCUAAUACCCUCGAGGAAGGACAUCACCCACAGAAGAAGCACCGGCUAACUCCGUGCCAGCAGCCGCGGUAAUACGGAGGGUGCGAGCGUUAAUCGGAAUUACUGGGCGUAAAGCGCGCGUAGGCGGUCUGAUAAGCCGGUUGUGAAAGCCCCGGGCUCAACCUGGGAACGGCAUCCGGAACUGUCAGGCUAGAGUGCAGGAGAGGAAGGUAGAAUUCCCGGUGUAGCGGUGAAAUGCGUAGAGAUCGGGAGGAAUACCAGUGGCGAAGGCGGCCUUCUGGACUGACACUGACGCUGAGGUGCGAAAGCGUGGGUAGCAAACAGGAUAAGAUACCCCAGUAGUC
rnacentral:rRNA from 1 species